UUGAACGCUGGCGGCAUGCUUUACACAUGCAAGUCGAACGGUAACAGGGAGCUUGCUCCGCUGACGAGUGGCGAACGGGUGAGUAAUGCAUCGGAACGUACCCAGUCGUGGGGGAUAACGUAGCGAAAGUUACGCUAAUACCGCAUACGUCCUGAGGGAGAAAGCGGGGGACCGUAAGGCCUCGCGCGAUUGGAGCGGCCGAUGUCGGAUUAGCUAGUUGGUGGGGUAAAGGCCUACCAAGGCGACGAUCCGUAGCGGGUCUGAGAGGAUGAUCCGCCACACUGGGACUGAGACACGGCCCAGACUCCUACGGGAGGCAGCAGUGGGGAAUUUUGGACAAUGGGGGCAACCCUGAUCCAGCCAUGCCGCGUGAGUGAAGGAGGCCUUCGGGUUGUAAAGCUCUUUCAGACGGAAGAAAUGAUUUUGGGUUAAUACCCUGAUUUCUUGACGGUACCUCUGAAGGAAGCACCGGCUAACUCCGU
rnacentral:rRNA from 1 species